UACGGGGGGAGCAAGCGUUGUUCGGAAUUACUGGGCGUAAAGGGUGUCUAGGCGGCCUUGUAAGUCGGGGGUGAAAUCCACUGGCUCAACCAGUGACGUGCCUUCGAAACUGCUAGGCUUGAGUAUGGCAGAGGAGAGCGGAAUUCCAGGUGUAGCGGUGAAAUGCGUAGAGAUCGGGAGGAAGGCCGGUGGCGAAG
rnacentral:rRNA from 1 species